ACCUGAAGCAUCUUUAACCCGAGGUACCACUGUACUAUAGUCUUUCUUCUUUUCUUCACUUUUUAAAAAAAUUAUACCUUUUAUGCAAAGAAAAAUAAAUAAAUUAUAAAACCCAAUACGGUCAUACCUCGGGUUGAAUGUGCUUCAGGU